UAAUUAAGAGACACUGAUUCCACACCUCUCCUAUUUCCAAUACAAAGUAUAAGGUUUUCACCAUAGAUAUGCCAAGAGAUAGAGCGACACCACUCUGUUUACAUCCGUAGCGAUAGUGAAAAGUCAGAAACAUCCGCUCCUGGUUUCCUGUUUGGCCUUUUGGUACUUACCUUGUUAGAGGUGUAAGAGCAGAAUGUUCCUGGACAGAAGUAACGGAGAAUAAACAUAUCUGUCUUCAACAGAGUGCUGGCUUGGGGCCGGAAAGGGAUGAGAGGGCAAUGGAGGGACUUACGUCUAGAAUUAAUAUCUCCACUGCUGGCUCGUUUUCCAGGAAAUUCGCCUAGUCAACAAGUGGCUUUCCUGCUUGAGGACAGUAUUCCUGCCAUCACUCGAAAAGUGGCGGCUUUUGUGCAGCAGCUCGAAGAUCGCAUCAGUUUUUAAUUAGUAAUUCUAGUGCUUCUUUAUAACCUUUUAGUUAUAAUAUUGUUGGUGGGUUAGACUGUUAUGUUAUUUUUUAAACUGUUGUCUAUAUUUUAAUUGUACCCCCCCCCCGUUGUGCUGGUCAUAGACCGUAAUAAACUUUGAUUGAUUGAUUGACAA